GAUGAACGCUGGCGGCGUGCCUAAUACAUGCAAGUCGAGCGAACGGACGAGAAGCUUGCUUCUCUGAUGUUAGCGGCGGACGGGAGAGUAACACGUGGAUACCCCACCUAUAAGACUGGGAUCACUUCGGGAAACCGGAGCUAAUACCGGAUGAUAUUUUGCACCGCAUGGUUCAAUAGAGAAAGACGGUCUUGCUGUCACUUAUAGAUGGUUCCGCGCUGCAUUAGCUAGUUGGUAAGGUAACGGCUUACCAAGGCAACGAUGCAUAGCCGACCUGAGAGGGUGAUCGGCCACACUGGAGCUGAAACACGGUCCAGACGCCUACGGGAGGCAGCAGUAGGGAAUCGUCCGCAGUGGGCGAGAGCCUGACGGAGCGACGCCGAGUGAGUGAUGAAGGUCUUCGGAUCGUAAAACUCUGUUAUUAGUGAAGAACAUAUGUGUAAGUAACUGUGGACAGCUUGACGGUACCUAGUCAGAAAGCCACGGCUAACUACGUG
rnacentral:rRNA from 1 species